rnacentral:rRNA from 1 species
AUUAUACAGCGAAACUGCGAAUGGCUCAUUAAAUCAGUUAUCGUUUAUUUGAUAGUGCCCAUCUACAUGGAUAACCGUGGUAAUUCUAGAGCUAAUACAUGCGUAAAAGCGCGACUUCGGGAGCGCUGUAUUUAUUAGAUUAAAGACCAAUGCCCUCCGGGGCUCACUGGUGAUUCAUGAUAACUCCUCUGAUCGCACGGCCUUGCGCCGGCGACGGCUCAUUCAAAUUUCUGCCCUAUCAACUUUCGACUUUAGUGUAGUGGACUAAAGUGGUUGCAACGGGUAACGGAGGGUUAGGGCUCGACCCCGGAGAAGGAGCCUGAGAAACGGCUACUACAUCCAAGGAAGGCAGCAGGCGCGCAAAUUACCCAAUCCCGACACGGGGAGGUAGUGACAAUAAAUACUGAUACAGGGCUCUUUCGGGUCUUGUAAUCGGAAUGAGUACAAUCUAAAUCCUUUAACGAGGAGCAAUUGGAGGGCAAGUCUGGUGCCAGCAGCCGCGGUAAUUCCAGCUCCAAUAGCGUAUAUUAAAGUUGUUGUGGUUAAAAAGCUCGUAGUUGAACCUGGGCCCCGUCCCGGCCGGUCCGCCUCACCGCGUGCACUGGUUCGGGAGGGGCUUCGCACCUUGGGGGUACGCAUGCCCUUCGCUGGGCGUGCGGGGAACCAGGACUUUUACUGUGAAAAAAUUAGAGUGUUCAAAGCAGGCCUAUGCUCGAAUACAUUAGCAUGGAAUAAUAAAAUAGGACGUGCGGUUCUAUUUUGUUGGUUAUGGGACCGCCGUAAUGAUUAAUAGGGACAGUCGGGGGCGUCAGUAUUCGGUGGUCAGAGGUGAAAUUCUUGGACCCACCGAAGACUAACUACUGCGAAAGCAUUCGCCAAGGAUGUUUUCAUUAAUCAGGAACGAAAGUUAGGGGAUCGAAAACGAUCAGAUACCGUUGUAGUCUUAACCAUAAACUAUGCCGACUAGGGAUCGGGCGAUGUUGCUUACUGACUCGCUCGGCACCUUUCGAGAAAUCAAAGUCUGUG